AGAGUUUGAUCAUGGCUCAGGAUGAACGCUGGCGGCGUGCCUAAUACAUGCAAGUCGAACGGGGUGGAGCAAUCCAUCUAGUGGCGAACGGGUGAGUAACGCGUUGGUGACCUGCCCUGGAGUGUGGGAUACCAGGCCGAAAGGCUUGCUAAUACCGCAUACCCCAACGGGAGACUAGAAACCGGUUGGGAAAGGAGAAAUCCGCUCUGGGAGGGGCCUGCGUCCCAUCAGCUAGUUGGUAAGGUAACGGCUUACCAAGGCGACGACGGGUAGGGGACCUGAGAGGGUGAUCCCCCACAAUGGAACUGAAACACGGUCCAUACACCUACGGGUGGCAGCAGUAGGGAAUAUUGCUUAAUGGGCGAAAGCCUGAAGCAGCAACGCCGCGUGUGCGAUGAAGGCCUUCGGGUUGUAAAGCACUUUUUACCGGGAAGAGGAAGGACGGUACCGGUAGAAUAAGCCUCGGCUAACUACGUGCCAGCAGCCGCGGUAAAACGUAGGAGGCGAGCGUUAUCCGGAUUUACUGGGUGUAAAGCGCGUGCAGGCGGUUUGUUAAGUUGGGUGUGAAAGCUCCUGGCUCAACUGGGAGAGGUCGCUCAAGACUGGCAGACUGGAGAGCAGUAAGGGAAGGUGGAAUUCCGGGUGUAGUGGUGAAAUGCGUAGAUAUCCGGAGGAACACCAGUGGCGAAAGCGGCCUUCUGGACUGUAUCUGACGCUCAGACGCGAAAGCUAGGGGAGCAAACGGGAUUAGAGACCCCGGUAGUCCUAGCCGUAAACGAUGUGAACUUGGCGCUGGAUGGGUAAAACCGUUCAGUGCCGUAGCUAACGCGAUAAGUUCACCACCUGGGGACUACGGCCGCAAGGUUAAAACUCAAAUGAAUUGACGG
rnacentral:rRNA from 1 species